AUUGAACGCUGGCGGCAGGCCUAACACAUGCAAGUCGAGCGGAUGAAGGGAGCUUGCUCCUGGAUUCAGCGGCGGACGGGUGAGUAAUGCCUAGGAAUCUGCCUGGUAGUGGGGGAUAACGUCCGGAAACGGGCGCUAAUAACGCAUACGUCCUGAGGGAGAAAGUGGGGGAUCUUCGGACAUCACGCUAUCAGAUGAGCCUAGGUCGGAUUAGCUAGUUGGUGGGGUAAAGGCCUACCAAGGCGACGAUCCGUAACUGGACUGAGAGGAUGGUCAGUCACACUGGAACUGAGACACGGUCCAUACUCCUACGGGAGGCAGCAGUGGGGAAUAUUGGACAAUGGGCGAAAGCCUGAUCCAGCCAUGCCGCGUGUGUGAAGAAGGUCUUCGGAUUGUAAAGCACUUUAAGUUGUGAGGAAGGGCAGUAAGUUAAUACCUUGCUGUUUUGACGGUACCAACAGAAUAAGCACCGGCUAACUUCGUG
rnacentral:rRNA from 1 species